CCUACGGGAGGCUGCAGUGAGGAAUAUUGGUCAAUGGACGAAAGUCUGAACCAGCCAAGUAGCGUGAAGGAUGACUGCCCUAUGGGUUUUAAACUUCUUUUAUAUGGGAAUAAAAUGUUCCACGUGUGGGAUUUUGUAUGUACCAUAUGAAUAAGGAGCGGAUAACUCCGUGCCAGCAGCCGCCGUAAUACGGAGGAUCCGAGCGUUAUCCGGAUUUAUUGGGUUUAAAGGGAGCGUAGGUGGAUUCUUAAGUCAGUUGUGAAAGUUUGCGGCUCAACCGUAAAAUUGCAGUUGAAACUGGCAAGCUUGAGUACAGGAGAGGUGGGCGGAAUUCGUGGUGUAGCGGUGAAAUGCUUAGAUAUCACGAAGAACUCCGAUUGCGAAGGCAGUUCACUAGACUGCAGCUGACACUGAGGCUCGAAAGUGUGGGUAUCAAACAGGAUUAGAUACCCUUGUAGUC
rnacentral:rRNA from 1 species